AAAAAGCAUUUUGGAUCGGGGCGUCAAAAGGCUUGUCCCACUGCCAAUUCAACCCGAUCUCGAGAAACCCGAACAACUAGCCACCGAGACGAAAUAAGAUGGGAACUUCAACCACACCUCGCUAGUUUGAUCGGUACCCUCUCAACGGGGGGAGAAUGUUACGCCAUGCGGCUUACCAUAGGUCAUAUUCUUAACUAUCGAUCGCGGCACUAUAAUGUCGCAGACGGACCGUCGCGUCUGCCCGGCAAACAAACAUUGUAGUGGCAAGCGCAUGAUUCAUUAAGCAGGGCGACUUCCAGAAACGUCGACUCGUGGUCGUUAUUUUACCUCGCGUAAAAGAAUGUGGCGUGAUCCGAACGUAGUGGGGGUCGCCUUCCAGAAAAAACGAAAAAAAUCGAAAGGCGUUCAGAACUUUUCGAGAAGUCGAACCGUCAACACAGGUGGCGCUUGGCCAUGGAUCGUUGCAUUAGGUUUUCGUAAUCCCCGAAACCCAGACAAACCACUAUGGAAGUGCGGAGGUUCCCUGAUAUCGGCUAGGCAUGUUUUGACCGCAGCACAUUGUGCACAUAUGGAUGGAAUAGAAAACAUACACAAUCAUAAUAUUGUCAUUCUUAGAUUGGUGGAGGAGGUGCCAUUUUCGAGGUACGUAUAUCCCAUUUGUACGAAAGAGCCCCUACGAAAGAGCAACUUCGUCGGCUAUAACCCCCUUGUUGCUGGAUCGGGAGCAUUAAGAUAUAGACGACCACGACGUAAUGCAUUAAUGGAAGUACAAAUGCCAGUGAUUAAGAACGCCGAAUGCAAAAUAGCUUAUUCCAAAUUUCCUAAUGCACCUGAUAUCACUGAUGGUAUAAUAUGCGCCGAACAUGCUCAGGGUGGAGAGGAUUCUUGUACGGCUGACCGCGGCGGACCACUGCUGAUACAACAUGAAUUAACCUCGUAUUUAAUAGGUAUUGUGUCUUAUGCUUAUAAGUGCGGCACAGCUGGGUAUCCCAGCGUUUACACUAGGGUCACAUCGUACCUUGACUUCAUUCUCCAAGCGAUGCAAUAAUAUGAUAUUACUGUUCCAUAAAUAUCAUUGUGUAAAAAACGUAAAGUUGGAUUUUCUUAUUGUGGAGAUAAGAAACAGCUCAAAUUUACAUUGUUUUGUACGUUACAAAUUAUAGGCUUAAAAUGUACGAAAUGUAACUUUGAAACGACACUAAUUUUUUACGCACGAUAAACCUCCACGACUUAGAUUAUAGAUUCCUAUACGACUCUCAGUAAAAAUUUAUCCGCACUCCAGAUAGUUAAAACUUCUGUCGACCGUAUUGAUCCAUCUGCACUCUUCGUAUGACGUCAAUAUCUGUUCAGUGCUGCUGCGCAGGUUUCUUUGUGUUACGUCAAUUCGUUUGUGACCGUUGCGCGAGUAAUGGCGCUUUGCAAUGGUGAUUUGCAGGAAAACAGUGCAGGAUGCUGUGAUUCGUUUCUUGUGGUCGGAGGUUAUGUUUGAUGCCUAUAUUUAUCAAAGAUUUAAUGCACAUUAUGGAGAAAGUGUUUUGUCACGAAGUGUGUUUGAAUGGGCACAAAAGUUCAAAGAAGAUCGCACGAGUGUUAUGAAAAAACAGCUGGACGCCCGUCCACAUCCACGAUGACAACAUUGAACGUGCUCAUGAACUUAUGCUCUAUGGAAUAGACGAGUGACACUGGAUAAUGUGGCAAAUCAUUUGCAAAUCAGCCACGGCUCUGCUUAUGCAAUAGUGCACGACAGAUUUGGAUUUUAAAAAGUUUGUGCGAGAUGGAUGCCGAAAAAGCUGAUGAAAAGGUGAAGACGACGAUGCAUUCGUGGUUCGCAGCUCAGCCCAAAACAUUUUUUAAUGAGAAAAUAUAAAGGUCCUUCGGCAAAUGGACAAAGUGUAUACAGAAAUCGAGUGAUUAUGUCAAAAAAUGAUGUAUGUCUUUUUUGACAAUUGCUUAAAAUAAAUUCUACACCGACAGAGCGGGCUGUUAAUCUAGAGGCUGGAGUACAAAGAAGUGGCACAAUGAUGUGGGCUGAUGACAUUUAUAAUUAUCAAGGAAUCACCCCUACAUUCGCUCAGAAUUUUAAUGAAACUGUCCCUUGGGAAGGAAGAACUGAUACCUUGAUAUCACGGUUUGUACAUCCUAUAUAUACGACAAAUUUUAGAACAUUAUAUAACGAAGAACCAGAUCGUCGUGGCCAUGUGAUGUGAAUAAAAGGACUUGAAUUUGAUGAUAUUUUUAUAAUGUUAGAUAACAUAACUAAGUAUCUUCACAGUAAGAUAGGAUGACAUGGUUUACAUGAUCUUAAUGUUG